CUAGGACCUAUGACUCCGAGGACAAGCAAGGCACAUUUAUCCCCAAACGAUGAACAAUUAUAGCAGAAGAAGUGACGAAGAGGAAAAGGGUUUACUCUGGAAGCUUCCAGAAGUGAGGUUUAAAGACCUUGGAAAGGUCGGCCCCGCUUUCGGCCUCGGCGCCGGCUGCGGUGUUGGCUUCGGCGUCGGCCUCAUCGGAGGAGUUGGGCUGGGUCCUGGGAUUCCUGGUUUACAAAUGGGUUUUGGGUUCGGUGCUGGAUGUGGAAUUGGUUAUGGAUUUGGGUAUGGGGUGGGUAGAGGCGUAGCUCAUGAUGAGAAUCGGAGAUACUCUAAUGUCGGCACGUUCUUCCAUGGUCCAGGAAAUCUUCCAACCCAGGAUGAGAUUGGUGGUCUUAUUGAUGAACUAGUCAUCAACACCAAGAAGCUAGUCAGAGCAACUUCAAGAGAAAUUGAGAAGUGGAGAAAAUGAAAUGAGUUUCUUGCUGCACAAAUUGCAUUAAUUAGGGACUCUUGAUGUGUGCUUCAUAUCUGGUCGCUAAUGUUUAGAUUUAUUCCAGUGAAAUUUAUGAGAAGCAAUACUUGAUGUGCCUAAUAACAAUGGCUACAAUGAAACUCUCUUUCUGCAUGUUCCAGGAUUCAUGUCUUUUAGUAGGAUGUUUAAGUACCAAAGCUAUAAAUAUCAUUUUUAGAUAAAAUUCA
rnacentral:misc_RNA from 1 species